UUGCGUGUGAGAGGCCCCCAGCCAGACCACUGGGUUGAUAGGCCGGAUGUGGAAGCGAGGACUAACGACUCGUGAAGCUGACCGGUACUAAUAGGCCGAUAACUUACACCAC
rfam:Arthrobacter sp. 49Tsu3.1M3 genome assembly, contig: G373DRAFT_scaffold00009.9